AAGUCGUAACAAGGUUUCCGUAGGUGAACCUGCGGAAGGAUCAUUACAGAGUUCAUGCCCUUACGGGUAGAUCUCCCACCCUUGAAUACUAUACCUUUGUUGCUUUGGCGGGCCGCGAUAGCUACUGGCUUCGGCUGGUGAGUGCCCGCCAGAGGACCCUAAACUCUGAAUUAUUAGUGUCGUCUGAGUACUAUAUAAUAGUUAAAACUUUCAACAACGGAUCUCUUGGUUCUGGCAUCGAUGAAGAACGCAGCGAAAUGCGAUAAGUAAUGUGAAUUGCAGAAUUCAGUGAAUCAUCGAAUCUUUGAACGCACAUUGCGCCCCUUGGUAUUCCGGGGGGCAUGCCUGUUCGAGCGUCAUUAUAAACCUUCAAGCUCAGCUUGGUGUUGGGGCCUGCCUCCUAGGCAGCCUCUAAAAUCAGUGGCGGUGCCGUCCGGCUCUCAGCGUAGUUAUCUCCCUCGCUAUAGAGUCCUGGUGGUUGCUUGCCAAUAACCUCCAACUUUCUAAGUUUGACCUCGGAUCAGGUAGGGAUACCCGCUGAACUUAAGCAUAUCAAUAAGCGGAGGAAAAGAAACCAACAGGGAUUGCCUCAGUAACGGCGAGUGAAGCGGCAACAGCUCAAAUUUGAAAUCUGGCUCUCGGGUCCGAGUUGUAAUUUGUAGAAGAUGCUUCAGGUGUGGCUCCGGUCUAAGUUCCUUGGAACAGGACGUCAUAGAGGGUGAGAAUCCCGUAUGUGACUGGUUGCCUUCGCCUAUGUGAAGCUCUUUCGACGAGUCGAGUUGUUUGGGAAUGCAGCUCAAAAUGGGUGGUAAAUUUCAUCUAAAGCUAAAUAUUGGCCAGAGACCGAUAGCGCACAAGUAGAGUGAUCGAAAGAUGGAAAGCACUUUGGAAAGAGAGUUAAACAGUACGUGAAAUUGUUGAAAGGGAAGCGCUUGCAACCAGACUUGCACGCGGUUGAUCAUCCGGUGUUCUCACCGGUGCACUCUGCCGUGUUCAGGCCAGCAUCGGUUUUGGUGGUUGGAUAAAGGCCUUGGGAAUGUAGCUUCUUUCGGGGAGUGUUAUAGCCCUCGGUGCAAUGCAGCCUACCGGGACCGAGGACCGCGCUUCGGCUAGGAUGCUGGCGUAAUGGUUGUAAGCGACC
rnacentral:rRNA from 1 species